AUGCACGCUGGCGGCGUGCCUCAUCCCUGCAAGUCGCGCGAACGGACGAGAAGCUUGCUUCUCUGAUGUUAGCGGCGGACGGGUGAGUAACACGUGGAUAACCUACCUAUAAGACUGGGAUAACUUCGGGAAACCGGAGCUAAUACCGGAUAAUAUUUUGAACCGCAUGGUUCAAAAGUGAAAGACGGUCUUGCUGUCACUUAUAGAUGGAUCCGCGCUGCAUUAGCUAGUUGGUAAGGUAACGGCUUACCAAGGCAACGAUGUAUAGCCGACCUGAGAGGGUGAUCGGCCACACUGGAACUGAGACACGGUCCAGACUCCUACGGGAGGCAGCAGUAGGGAAUCUUCCGCAAUGGGCGAAAGCCUGACGGAGCAACGCCGCGUGAGUGAUGAAGGUCUUCGGAUCGUAAAACUCUGUUAUUAGGGAAGAACAUAUGUGUAAGUAACUGUGCACAUCUUGACGGUACCUAAUCAGAAAGCCACGGCUAACUACGUG
rnacentral:rRNA from 1 species